rnacentral:rRNA from 1 species
UACGUAGGGACCAAGCGUUGUCCGGAAUCAUUGGGCGUAAAGCGCGCGUAGGCGGCCCGGUAAGUCCGUUGUAAAAGUCAAAGGCUCAACCUUUGAAUGCCGAUGGAUACUGCCGGGCUAGAGUCCGGAAGAGGCGAGUAGAAUUCCUGGUGUAGCGGUGGAAUGCGCAGAUAUCAGGAGGAAUACCCAUAGCGAAGGCAGCUCGCUGGGACGGCACUGACGCUAAGGCGCGAAAGCGUGGGGAGCGAACAGG